AGGCGGUUAACUCAGUGGUAGAGUGCCACCUUCACACGGUGGAAGUCAUUGGUUCAAUUCCAGUACCGCCUACCA
rnacentral:tRNA from 1 species